rnacentral:rRNA from 1 species
CCUACGGGAGGCAGCAGUAGGGAAUUUUGCUCAAUGGGGGAAACCCUGAAGCAGCAACGCCGCGUGGAGGAUGAAGGUUUUCGGAUUGUAAACUCCUUUUGUUAGAGAAGAUAAUGACGGUAUCUAACGAAUAAGCACCGGCAAACUCCGUGCCAGCAGCAGCGGUAAUACGGAGGGUGCAAGCGUUACUCGGAAUCACUGGGCGUAAAGAGCGCGUAGGCGGGAUAGCAAGUCAGAUGUGAAAUCCAAUGGCUGAACCAUAGAACGGAAUUUGAAACUGUUAUUCUAGAGUAUGGGAGAGGUAGGUGGAAUUCUUGGUGUAGGGGUAAAAUCCGUAGAGAUCAAGAGGAAUACUCAUUGCGAAGGCGAGCUGCUAGAACAUAACUGACGCUGAGGCGCGAAAGCGUGGGGAGCAAACGGGAUUAGAUACCCCAGUAGUC